rnacentral:rRNA from 1 species
UACGUAGGGGGCAAGCGUUGUCCGGAAUCAUUGGGCGUAAAGCGCGUGUAGGCGGCUCGAUAAGUCUGCGGUGAAAGUCCAGGGCUCAACCCUGGAAAGCCGGUGGAAACUGUCGGGCUAGCGUCCGGAAGAGGCGAGUGGAAUUCCUGGUGUAGCGGUGAAAUGCGCAGAUAUCAGGACGAACUCCAAUGGCGAAGGCAGCUCGCUGGGACGGUACUGACGCUGAGACGCGAAAGCGUGGGGAGCAAACAGG